rnacentral:lncRNA from 1 species
AUGAUUAGACAAACACAACAAGACAGGUACACACACAGACAGACAGACAGGUACACACACACACAGACAGGUACACACACAGACAGACAGGUGCACACACACACAGACAGGUACACACACAGACAGACAGGUACACACACACACAGACAGACAGGUACACACACACACAGACAGGUACACACACACACACACAGACAGGUACACACACAGACAGACAGGUGCACACACACACACACAGACAGGUACACACACAGACAGACAGGUACACACACACACACACACAGACAGGUACACACACACACACAGACAGGUACACACACAGACAGACAGGUAUACACACACACAGACAGGUACACACACACACACACAGACAGGCAGGUGGGUCGACAACGCCUGGCUGAGGAAGGCAUAGGAUAGGCAGGUUAACACAGCACAGCACUUUUAACUCUAACUCUAGGCUCACUCUCAUUGGCUGCAGUAAGAGGUCUUUUAACUCUCGCGCUCACUCUCAUUGGCUGCAGUAAGAGGUCUUUUAACUCUCCCGCUCACUCUCAUUGGCUGCAGUAAGAGGUCUUUUAACUCUCGCGCUCACUCUCAUUGGCUGCAGUAAGAGGUCUUUUAACUCUCUCGCGCUCACUCUCAUUGGCCGUGGCUUAAGUAGUUUGAGAGGUUUGGCGAUGUCCCCUUCCUACAAUAUGGGAGAUGACUUGUAUCGGUGUCUUUGACACCUCUUUCUUCCGUGGAGAAUGGGAGUUCAUUAAUUCAGACCUGUAUUUCAGGCGUGACGUGACGUGACGUGCCGCGGGCCUGAUUGGUAUUCUGCCAGGCCUCCGCACUGACCUUUUGUGAGGAUCGCGGGAGGAUAAUGACACUCAGAGAUUGGGGGCUGUGUUAAGAGUGUGAACACUGAAGAGAUAAUACUCUGCUUCACUCUGGUUGGAUUUUGGUCACAGCUUUUUGUUCCCCCUUCGGUUUCAACUCACAUCCAGAUAUUUGGAAUUGGACCUGAGUUGAUCGUCUGGGACGGAGCUCUGGAGUGUCGGGAGAACAUGACAGGAGAGCCCUGGCGUGUCGGAGAACAUGACAGGAGAGAGAGGGUAGAGAACCCCCUACAGGAGCA